UUCGAUUCAAAAUGGCGGACUUCCUGUUGGGCUUAGGGUAUGGCUCCAAUUGAGUUUUAUGUACGUACUGACGUGCUACAUAUGUGUACCAAGUUUCGUGAGUCUACGUGAAACAUACUGCAGGGGCUCAGUUUGUUUAAAUUUUGCUAGCCAUUUUUGUGCGCCUAUUACCGAAACCCUAAAAUACAUACAUUUUCACCAGACUUGAUGCGACCGCCAAAUUUGGGGAGUUUUUGAGUAUCUUAGGCCCCUCAAAAAGGUGAUUCAUGUGC